GAUGAACGCUGGCGGCGUGCCUAAUACAUGCAAGUCGAGCGAACAGACGAGGAGCUUGCUCCUCUGACGUUAGCGGCGGACGGGUGAGUAACACGUGGAUAACCUACCUAUAAGACUGGGAUAACUUCGGGAAACCGGAGCUAAUACCGGAUAAUAUAUUGAACCUCAUUGUUCAAUAGUGAAAGACGGUUUUGCUGUCACUUAUAGAUGGAUCCGCGCGGCAUUAGCUAGUUGGUAAGGUAACGGCUUACCAAGGCUACGAUGCGUAGCCGACCUGAGAGGGUGAUCGGCCACACUGGAACUGAGAAACGGUCCAGACUCCUACGGGAGGCAGCAGUAGGGAAUCUUCCGCAAUGGGCGAAAGCCUGACGGAGCAACGCCGCGUGAGUGAUGAAGGUCUUCGGAUCGUAAAACUCUGUUAUUAGGGAAGAACAAAUGUGUAAGUAACUAUGCACGUCUUGACGGUACCUAAUCAGAAAGCCACGGCUAACUACGUG
rnacentral:rRNA from 1 species